rnacentral:tRNA from 1 species
GACAGUUUGGCCGAGUGGUCGUAGGCGCUAACUUCAGGCGCUAGUCCGAAAGGGCGCGAGUUCGAAUCUUGUAGCUGUUA